rnacentral:rRNA from 1 species
GUGGGGAAUAUUGGACAAUGGGCGCAAGCCUGAUCCAGCCAUGCCGCGUGAGUGAUGAAGGCCUUAGGGUUGUAAAGCUCUUUCAGUGGGGACGAUAAUGACGGUACCCACAGAAGAAGCCCCGGCUAACUUCGUGCCAGCAGCCGCGGUAAUACGAAGGGGGCUAGCGUUGUUCGGAUUUACUGGGCGUAAAGCGCACGUAGGCGGAUCGUUAAGUCGGGGGUGAAAUCCUGGAGCUCAACUCCAGAACUGCCUUCGAUACUGGCGAUCUUGAGUCCGGAAGAGGUGAGUGGAACUCCUAGUGUAGAGGUGGGAUUCAUAGAUAUUAGGAAGAACACCAGUGGCGAAGGCGGCUCACUGGUCCGGUACUGACGCUGAGGUGCGAAAGCGUGGGGAGCAAACAGGAUUAGAAACCCCUGUAGUCC